CCUACGGGGGGCUGCAGUGGGGAAUAUUGCGCAAUGGGCGGAAGCCUGACGCAGCGACGCCGCGUGAGGGAUGACGGCCUUCGGGUUGUAAACCUCUUUCAGCAGGGACGAAUUUUGACGGUACCUGUAGAAGAAGCACCGGCCAACUACGUGCCAGCAGCCGCGGUAAUACGUAGGGUGCGAGCGUUGUCCGGAAUUAUUGGGCGUAAAGAGCUCGUAGGCGGUCUGUCGCGUCGAAUGUGAAAACCCGGGGCUCAACUCCGGGCUUGCAUUCG
rnacentral:rRNA from 1 species